UACAGAGGUCCCAAGCGUUGUUCGGAUUCACUGGGCGUAAAGGGUGCGUAGGUGGUGAGGCAAGUCGGAUGUGAAAGCUCGGAGCUCAACUCCGAAAUGGCAUUGGAAACUACCUUGCUCGAGGGUUGGAGGGGGGACUGGAAUGCUUGGUGUAGCAGUGAAAUGCGUAGAUAUCAAGCGGAACACCAGUGGCGAAGGCGAGUCCCUGGACAGCUCCUGACGCUGAGGCACGAAAGCUAGGGGAGCAAACGGG
rnacentral:rRNA from 1 species